rnacentral:pre_miRNA from 1 species
GUACUACUCCCUCCGUACAAAAAUACUUGUCAUUGAAAUGGAUGUAUCUAGAUGUAUUUUAGUUCUAGACACAUCCAUUUUGAUGACAAGUAAUUCUGGACGGAGGGAGUACAUG